CAAAGUUAUCAAAUCUGAAAACACACAUCUAAAGGAGAUAAUGGAAAAUCAGAAGCAUAAAAGUUGCAUGAGUAUCGAUUUAUCUAACAAAAAACAUGGAGAUUUCACAGCUUCUAUUCAAAAACUGGAACAUGAGAAUGCAAGAUUACAAAACAGUCUUGUUAAACUACAGAAUCACACAGAAACACUGAUGCUGAGUGGGGUGGAUAAACAUGGAGAAACAGAGCACAGCUACCAAACCCAUUCAAAGAUGCAAGAAAAGGAAGAGAGAACUUUCCAAAAUGAAGAUGAAAGGCAUAUGAAACUUCAACAGACUGCUAUAUUCACAGCCAGUGAAUACCAUAGAAACUGUAGUCCUACUUCACAUGGCCAAGGUGAUAUCAGUGGUUCCAAAAGUGAUCGCACUUUAUCUUAUCACAAACUUGACAGAGGUCGUGAAAUGGAACUAGAUGAUAAAUCUCC
rnacentral:lncRNA from 1 species